AACGAACGCUGGCGGCAGGCUUAACACAUGCAAGUCGAACGCACCGCAAGGUGAGUGGCAGACGGGUGAGUAACGCGUGGGAACGUGCCCUUCAGUUCGGAAUAACCCAGGGAAACUUGGGCUAAUACCGGAUACGUGCGAGAGCAGAAAGAUUUAUCGCUGAAGGAUCGGCCCGCGUCUGAUUAGCUAGUUGGUGGGGUAAUGGCCCACCAAGGCGACGAUCUGUAGCNGGUCUGAGAGGACGGCCAGCCACACUGGCACUGACACACGGGCCAGACUCCUACGGGAGGCAGCAGUGGGGAAUUUUGGGCAAUGGGCGAAAGCCUGACCCAGCAACGCCGCGUGAGGGAGGAAAUCCUUCGGGAUGUAAACCUCACAAGCAAGGGAAGAGCGCAUGAAGGAGAAUACCCUUCAUGCCCGACGGUACCUUGCGUAAGCCACGGCUAACUACGUGCCAGCAGCCGCAGUAAU
rnacentral:rRNA from 1 species